GAUGAACGCUAGCUGGAGGCUUAAUACAUGCAAGUCGAGCGGGAUUGGGUAGCAAUACCCAUGAGAGCGGCGCACGGGUGAGUAACGCGUACACGACCUACCUCUGACAGGGGGAUAGCCCUGGGAAACUGGGAUUAAUACCGCAUAUUAUUCUGAAUAAUAAAGGUUUGGAAUGAAAGCUGAGGCGGUCAGAGAUGGGUGUGCGUCUGAUUAGCUAGUUGGUAGGGUAACGGCCUACCAAGGCGAUGAUCAGUAGGGGGCGUGAGAGCGUGGUCCCCCACACGGGUACUGAGACACGGACCCGACUCCUACGGGAGGCAGCAGUAAGGAAUAUUGGUCAAUGGGCGAAAGCCUGAUCCAGCCAUCCCGCGUGCAGGAUGAAUGCCCUAUGGGUUGUAAACUGCUUUUGGAAGGGAAGAAACGCCUGGAUUUAUCCGGGCCUGACGGUACCUUCAGAAUAGCACCGGCUAACUCCGUGCCAGCAGCCGCGGUAAAGUCGAUA
rnacentral:rRNA from 1 species